rnacentral:rRNA from 1 species
AGAGUUUGAUCAUGGCUCAGGAUGAACGCUAGCGGCAGGCUUAAUACAUGCAAGUCGAGGGGUAACAUGGGUAGCAAUACCUGAUGACGACCGGCAAACGGGUGCGGAACACGUACGCAACCUUCCCAUAACUGGUGAAUAGCCCUCCGAAAGGAGGAUUAAUACACCGUAACAUAAUGAAGUGGCAUCACUUUAUUAUUAUAGGCUUCGGCCGGUUUUGGAUGGGCGUGCGCCUGAUUAGGUAGUUGGCGGGGUAACGGCCCACCAAGCCUGCGAUCAGUAACUGGUGUGAGAGCACGACCAGUCACACGGGCACUGAGACACGGGCCCGACUCCUACGGGAGGCAGCAGUAAGGAAUAUUGGUCAAUGGACGAAAGUCUGAACCAGCCAUGCCGCGUGAAGGAUUAAGGCCCUCUGGGUUGUAAACUUCUUUUCUCUGGGGCGAAAAACAGGUAUUCUUACUUGCUUGACAGUACCAGAGGAAUAAGCACCGGCUAACUCCGUGCCAGCAGCCGCGGUAAUACGGAGGGUGCAAGCGUUAUCCGGAUUCACUGGGUUUAAAGGGUGCGUAGGUGGGGAGGUAAGUCAGCGGUGAAAUCCCCGAGCUUAACUUGGGAACUGCCAUUGAUACUAUCUCUCUUGAAUAUCUUGGAGGUGAGCGGAAUAUGUCAUGUAGCGGUGAAAUGCUUAGAUAUGACAUAGAACACCAAUUGCGAAGGCAGCUCACUACACGGUAAUUGACACUGAGGCACGAAAGCGUGGGGAUCAAACAGGAUUAGAUACCCUAGUAGUCC